CCCAUUCUCACUCCAAAGGCGUCAAAAACCGAAGCAUGGUCAAGCGCCCCUAGCGUCACUUUUAUGACGCCAAAUGUGCCUCUCGGCGUCGACUAUCGAAGCACUACGACCUUCAUUGCUUUCAGUGGGAAACUUUUGGCGUCAGAAUUCGACACGAGGACAUGAGAUGUUUAUCGCUAUGAAAUCACGUUCAAGAAGUCUCAUUCAGCACACAUCGCGCGAUACUUGCUAUCAGUUCCACAGUUUGGCUGAAAAGACGUAAAGGCAGUCAGCCCAGUGGUGUUUCUGGAGAGGGAUUCCUUCAGAAAUGGAGAAGACAGAAAGCUGCGGAGGCAGAUAUUUGCAGCAGAUUGUUUGAGGAUAACACUGCAGUUCUCCAUCAUGCACAAGGACUCACCUCGUUAACUCUUUAUCCCCCACACACACAGAUAUGGUCCCUGGAUCAGUGAUUAGACUUUGCAGUGGUUUGAUUUUUGCAGAAGAUGUAACUUUGUUUUAUUUAUAAGCUCAUAAUGAAUACAUUACAGAACCAGUGAUGAAAACAAUAGUUAAAAAUAGUAUUUUUCGUAUUGAUAAAGCAUUUUGUUCUCUUUUUCAAGCUUCAUACAGUGAACUUUUUAGACUUUAAUUAAGAGUUUUAGUAAAGGAGAUAUUCAUACACAGUCAUCCCCUAGCUCCAGUCAUGAAGUGAAUUCAUGAUGUUAUUGUCAAAGCUAGCAGGUGUUUGUUUUCCUGAACACUUUCUCUGUCUUCCAUUGUUCAGACAAUCAGUGUUUAUUUGAUGCUGUGCUGAUUGAGUUUUAUAGAUGAUAUUGCACACUUGACAUGCAUGUCUUCAUGGUGUUUUUUUGUGAGUUUGAAACAUUUACAUUGUGUUGUAUAACAUUUUGGUCAAUUUAAUUUUUUUAAUAAAAUUGAUCUUUUUCCAGUGUUCUCUGAAAGACAUACUGUAUUUACUGUUUUGUUUUUUAAUAAAAGCAUUUUCAUUUGCAUACUGAAAAUAGUUAAUGUUUACAACAUAACUGCCUUUUUAUUCUUUAUGGUGGCAAA